ACACACAUACACACACAUACAAACUUUCACCUUUAUAAUAUUAGUGUGACUAUGUUAAAAGAAUUGUUUUGACUGACUGACUGAUCUAGCAACACAGCGCGCUGGGAUAAGAAACUUGUGUCAGAAAGUUGUAUGAUGUACAUAGGUACCCACUAUGAAAAGAAUUUUGGAAAUUCCAUCCCUAAGGCACUUAAAUAGAAGGUGAAAGUCCGUCAUUUUCAAGUUAUAUCCAUGAAUAUUGAUUGGUAUUUGGGCUUUUCGGUCAAAAAUGAAAAGUCCCUGUUUUAGAAUUUUUGGAAAUUCCUUGCCCCACGCCGAUUUUCCGAAAUUCCACGCAAGCACAGCUGGGGCAGGUAAGCUCGUUUCAAAUAAUUUUCUUCUGUUUCCUUUUCUUCUCUUAAACCAACUGAACAGAUUUUGAUGAAAACGGACUCAGAUAUUACAGAUUGUCUUGUGCGUUAAAAUAUAUAGCGCAUGAUUGCUAUUUUUAAUAAUUUAUAUUUGGUGAUUUUAUAAAUGAAGUGAUAUAAUCAUUAUUUCAUAAAUGAUUUUAUGUAGAUUUGCAUGCAGUUUAUAUGACAUGCAUUAAUUUAUUAUUAGAUACAUUUUGAUUUUUCACGAAAAGUGAUUAUUCCAAUUUUCAUACUUACAAUCAUUUACUACAUUAAUUUAACUAGAUGUUUUCCCCCUAUCUCAACGCACGCAUGCGAGUUAGACACACUCGCUCGCACACUCUUUAGCGUCUCAGAUCGGAUCGAUGACCAUAAGAUAAUGCGGGAUUUAAAUGUCAUAAUUUUUUCUUCGUGAUUAUUCUUAGCCAUUUUAGAUAGCAAGUGUUGUCAUAUGAAAAGGCUAUUCAUGUGAUUUUUCACAUGUUACCUGUGAAAUCGUCCAUCUCAAGAAAAAGAGCUCACUGUAUUGAUUUUGAAUGAUUUUAUUGUAUGAAAAUUAAGACUGCUCUGAGUUAUAAAUGAAUAAUUAUAUUAUUUGACUGUAUAUUCAUAGAAAUAUACGCGUAUUAUUAAUUUAUUUUUAUGAUGAUAUUUAUAAUUUUAUUCAAAAUUUAGGCGUUGUUUUAUAAAGGCGUUUUUUUAAAUAAAAAAUAUGUGACUGAAAAUAUUUUUAUCCAUCAUAAUGAUAAAUCACGGGCACUGGUCAUUUACUGAAAAUUAUUUGGAGGAAUAUCAAAAGUAGCUAUGUAAAAAAACUAGUUACAAAUUAAAUUAUCAUUUUCUAUUUUAAAAUCAUGCCUCUAUGAAACAAAGUCUAAAAAAUCACGCACACUUUGAUUUAAGUUGUUACAAAUCGCAUGUUGUAAAGGGCGGCCGCACAACCGCUCAGUGUGCGAUCGCCCUAAAUCAAGUGACUACGUCACGUUGUAAUAUAGCCGAUUACUGCGGUAAUCAAGUAGGCUAGGAGCAGCCGGACUGUUGUCUCGAAGCGUUUAUACAGAACCGAAUUUUACAUAAUAUAAACUUUGUGUACAAACUAGAUUCCUCGCUUUAGUUCUAAAUUGCUACUUUGCUAAAGUUAUAAACAAAAUUGACAGAAUUAAAUUAAAUUUUCUCACGUUUGUGUAUUUUUGUGUAUAACUUUAAAUGAAGUGUAAUUAUUUUUUUUACCACCGAAUUGACCACAAUGGUUACUAAUUUGAAGUUUUUCGAAUGUAGGUACUUAAGUUAUAAAGACUAUCGGACUCAAUAUGAAAAAAGACGAACAGGUUUAACUUAAAAACGAAUUGACGGUUUUUGCAGUGAAUAGACACCUUCUAGGUAAACGCGUCCCAUCUUAGACCACAUCAUCACUUUCCAUCAGGUGUGAUUGUGGUCAAGCGCUUACCUGUGCAAGCAAGUGAAUAAAAAUAAAUUAAAAAAAAAAAAUUUGCAUAAGAAAUCUGUGUCAAAAUAAACACGCGCUAAACACUUGUUUAAAUGUGUUUUUAAGUAAAAAUGCUUUUUACUUAUUGCAAUCUGUAAUAACUAAAAAUUAGCUAUUCUAUUAGCUUUAGCUAUUAUAGUAUAUUUGAUACCCCUUUCUUAAUCCGAACCGCUAGGAUAUGGAACACCCUACUGGCAUCAGUUUUCCCAUCCACUUUUAAUAUGGGAACCUUCAGGUCAAGAGUGAAUAGGCAACUUCUAGGCAAGCGCGCUCCACCUUAGGCUGCAUCAUCACUUGCUAGCAGGUGUAAUUGCAGCCAAGCGCUAGUCUGUAAUCUAAAAAAAUAUUAAUUUGAAAAAAUUUGACUGUAUAAACACAUUAAACAAAUAGUUCGCCAGCUCCCGGUCUAAAGAAUUUAUUUAGUAUAGAAGGAUGCUAGCUUGCAUGGAUUAUACAUAAUUAUAAAUAAAUGAAAGGAUAAUUUUAAUUAAUUAUUAAUUAAUUAAUUAAUGUGUAGUAUUUAAGAUAGUUGAUAAAAUAGAUUCCCGGAUAUGUAUGUAGAUUGUUGGAACUUUUAUUUUAUUUUAUAUGUAUAAUAAUACUAAAUGAUACCCGUGACUUCGUCCGCGUGGAUUCUGGCAUAAAAUGUAGCCUAUGUGUUAAAUCAGGCUAUACCAUUUCAAACAGCCAAAUCGGUUCAGUCAUUGUGGCGUAAAGGAGUAACAAACUCACACACAUACAAACUUUCGCCUUUCUAGCCUAAUAUUAUAAACAGGUAAAGUUAGUAAGUUUGUUGGUAGGAAGAAAUCUCUGCAACUACUGAACCGAUUUUGAAAAUUCUUUCACCAGUAGAAAGCUACAUUAUUCCUGAGUGGCAUAGGCUAUAUUUUAUUUUCAAAAUAUUAGGGAUCCUUACGGAAAUUGUAAUAAGCUACCCGUACGAAGCCGGGGCGUGUCGCUAGUGUAAUAUAAGCGUGAUUUCUAGCUCUGUCUAAGUACAAAUUGUACGUUCAAAAAAUAUCGGGAGAUUCUUUGUUACAAAAAUUAAAAUGAACUAUGUAUUUGUGUUUUCCUAAUAAAAGUGUAGUGUA